AGCAUGUUUGGGACAGUGCCAUUGCUGUUUGCAGGCAAUACGAAGACACGGAACCUUCUCCCACUCACCAGCAGCAAGAGUGUGUGACUGACACCAGGCAAGGGGCAUGCGCCAGGCCACUGAGGGUGCUGGCCACAGAUCUUGUCUGGAGAAUAAAGGAACAGCCAGAUUGCUUUCGGGAGGCAUCUUCUUCCUUUCACAUCCCUGAGAGCGUGUUUUGCCUGCGACGGAAAGUCAAGCCUCAGCUGAGGACCUUCUGUGUGGUGCUCUGAUUUCUUUGCUAAGUAGUCUGAUUUUUCCCCCCCAGUAAUUUCUAUUUUUAUGCACAGUGACUCUCAAUUGGUGAGAAAAUGAUGAUCACAUAAUCUCUCUUCCUCGAAGCUGCCGAAUGAUUAGCCUCAUUUGCUGCGCGUUCCACUCCACGGCCCGGAAAUGACGCCCCUCUCCAACUCCGGCUAAGCAUGUCAGCUAGAUGGGUUUGACCUUUUCCUGGAAAACAAGGGAGAUGAGAACACGUGAUGUGUGCGCAAACUGAUGCUCAAAUGGGCUAUUUUAGCCAACACUUCAAGAUACAUGCUUCGCUAAACUGGCUGAGAACACACCGGAGCGUUUCCAGUGAGGGCUUUUUAAGGCAUUUAAGAGUCUUGCUAUCUUCAAAAGUAAAGGUAUGACAGAAGACAGCCUGCAGGAGCCAGUUCUCUCCAUCCACCAUGUGGUUACUGGGGGAUCAAAUUCAGAUCAGCAGGUUUGGUGGUACCCUCGGCUUGUUUACACCCUGGAUGAUAAGAAUAAGAAGCUCCGGAUGUGGCGUCAAGAACUUCAGUGCCUCUGUCGUCUGGAUCCCGGGUGAUUGAGAGACUGCAGGAAUUUUUAGAGAUAAGAACCCUGACUAAUUGGGUCCUUUCUGAGUUCCACUUCAGUCCCCUUUUUAAAGUAACCCUGCUUUGAGAACAGUGCCUGUGACUUGCUACAGUAUCAACAGCAACAACACUGUGAAGUGCUAAGUCAUCCAUGAGGGAGGCCCUGAGGGGGAGCAGCCGUUCACCUGGACUCACUCUCCCCCAAGCAGGAGAAACAUAGCAAUAAGCCCUUCUCAACAGAGUAACAGAGUAACUCA
rnacentral:lncRNA from 1 species